GACGAACGCUGGCGGCGUGCCUAAUACAUGCGAGUUGAGCGCUGAAGGUUGGUACUUGUACCAACUGGAUGAGCAGCGAACGGGUGAGUAACGCGUGGGGAAUCUGCCUUUGAGCGGGGGACAACAUUUGGAAACGAAUGCUAAUACCGCAUAAAAACUUUAAACACAAGUUUUAAGUUUGAAAGAUGCAAUUGCAUCACUCAAAGAUGAUCCCGCGUUGUAUUAGCUAGUUGGUGAGGUAAAGGCUCACCAAGGCGAUGAUACAUAGCCGACCUGAGAGGGUGAUCGGCCACAUUGGGACUGAGACACGGCCCAAACUCCUACGGGAAGCAGCAGUAGGGAAUCUUCGGCAAUGGACGAAAGUCUGACCGAGCAACGCCGCGUGAGUGAAGAAGGUUUUCGGAUCGUAAAACUCUGUUGGUAGAGAAGAACGUUGGUGAGAGUGGAAAGCUCAUCAAGUGACGGUAACUACCCAGAAAGGGACGGCUAACUACGUG
rnacentral:rRNA from 1 species